UAUUCAUGCAUGACCCAAUUGGUUUUCUCCCCUUUAGGUGCUCUCCCUCUGUAGAAAACAAGGGUCUUCUUCAUCCCAACAAGGCAAUUUUUCCCCUUGUAAAUCUCCCUAUCUUUUCCGGUGGCCUUCCAAUAGCCGGCCUCCGUGGCUCGGUUUGUUCUCAUACCAGUUGGGUACUUCCUAUCUCUCUGGCAAAAGAAGUACCAUUCCUUUUCUCCCAUCUUUGCUUUCUUGGGCAAAUCCCAUGGUUCGCACUUAUUGAGAUCAACUUCACCAAUAGCACAUGCACU
rnacentral:misc_RNA from 1 species